rnacentral:rRNA from 1 species
AUUGAACGCUGGCGGCAGGCCUAACACAUGCAAGUCGAACGAGUGGCGGACGGGUGAGUAAUGUCUGGGAAACUGCCCGAUGGAGGGGGAUAACUACUGGAAACGGUAGCUAAUACCGCAUACCAUCGGAUGUGCCCAGAUGGGAUUAGCUAGUAGGUGGGGUAACGGCUCACCGAGGCGACGAUCCCUAGCUGGGCUGAGAGGAUGACCAGCUCCACUGGAACUGAGACACGGUCCAGACCCCUACGGGAUGCAGCAGUGGUGAAUAUUGCACAAUGGGCGCAAGCCUGAUGCAGCCAUGCCGCGUGUAUGAAGAAGGCCUUCGGGUUUUAAAGUACUUUCAGCGAGGAGGCGUUACUCGAAGAAGAAGCACCUGCUAACUCCGUGCCAGCAGCCGCGGUAAUAC